rnacentral:rRNA from 1 species
GGUUACGGGGGAUUAGGGUUCGAUUCCGGAGAGGGAGCCUGAGAAACGGCUACCACAUCUAAGGAAGGCAGCAGGCGCGCAAAUUACCCAAUUCUAACAGCAUAAGAGAGGUAGUGACAAGAAAUAACAAUACAAGGCAGUUAAAAUGCUUUGUAAUUGGAAUGAUAGAAAUUUAAACACUUUUUAAAGUAUCAAUUGGAGGGCAAGUCUGGUGCCAGCAGCCGCGGUAAUUCCAGCUCCAAUAGCGUAUAUUAAAAUUGUUGCAGUUAAAAAGCUCGUAGUUGAAUUUCUGCUAAAAAUAACCGGUCUGCUUUUAACAAAAGUGGUAUCUUGGUGUGUUKUUAGCAAUAAUGUCSUUUGAAAUGUGUUUUACUUUGUUGUAAAAGAUAAUAUUCAGGAUUUUUACUUUGAGAAAAUUAGAGUGUUGCUAGCAGGCUAAUGUUUUGAAUACUGCAGCAUGGAAUAAUAAAAUAUGAUUUUGGUUCUACAUUGUUGGUUUUAAGAG